GGCCGCGUGGCCCAAUGGAUAGGGCAUCGCCCUCCGGUCGAAGCCGCUCUGCGGAUGGUACAAUCGGAAAUAGGCGGGGAUUGUGGGUUCGAGUCCCACCGUGGUCG